CUUCAGUGUAAGGGAUGUUGGAAAUAAUGAGAACGUUAGCGUGACUGUAUUUGUAACUGCCUGCUAAUAAGUGUUUCCAUGGUGACAGAAUUCUUCUAAGACUUGGCUUUCAUUGAAAGAGUCACCUGGCAGUGAGGAUGUACUUUGUAUUCUGGAUAUCACUCUUUCUCCAGGAGGAGCUGGAAAGAUUCACCUCUGACGUUGAAUGAUUUUACUUGUAUUGUGAGAGCUGUGUGACACAGCUGAGUCACAGCAAAUACAGUGUCUGGUCUCAUUGCCCCCAUCGACCUUGUGAGCUGGAGCCCCAAGAACAUAGCCUCAAUUUCCUCUUCUGAAAAAUGAGGACAUUAAUUUUUGCCUGCCUUCUUCACAGAGUUCAAAGGAAUGUAAAAGCACGAUGAACAUCAUAAGGAAUCAUAAAGCACGAGCUCCUGAAUCCUGUGAGUUUUUUUGUGAAUCAUCAAGCCCGGGGGUGGUUUGGGGCUCCUGACACAGCUGGCCAAGCAGACUCUCACAGAUCCUCUUCUCCCAGAUGGCACACAUUUCUAAAAUGGAAGCCCUGAGGCACGAUUCAUUGAAACUCAUUCUCAUCCGUUACAUUGCAUUAAAAUCUUGAGAAAGUCUUCAAAAUGGAAAUUCAUCUGAUGCCAACAACAGAAUGUCACUCAAUAGAAGAACCCUUCCUGACCCAGAGGGCCUGCUUUGCCUUGGCUCUCUGAGAAGAUGCAAAACCUAAAAUCCACGGUGUUCAAGCCUGCAUGCUCCAUAAGAAAAGAUGUUUCAGUGGAUGAGAAAUGUCUCUGGGGGGCUUUGUUAUUUACUGGAUUUUCAUACAACUGGGUCUCUGGUCUGAGCAUAAAUUCACUUUGGCAUAGGAGCAUCUCUAUAUGCUUAUGUAUUUGAAGGGAGAGGAAAAUGAGAGAGGAGGGGGCUGCGGAUUGCUGGCGAAGCUUGUAAACUGGAAUCUUAUUCUCAAUUUGUCAUGUUCACCUGAGUUUGGAGACCUG